rnacentral:rRNA from 1 species
UGGGGAAUAUUGGGCAAUGGGGGGAACCCUGACCCAGCAACGCCGCGUGGAGGAAGAAGGUUUUCGGAUCGUAAACUCCUGUCCUUGGAGACGAGUAGAAGACGGUAUCCAAGGAGGAAGCCCCGGCUAACUACGUGCCAGCAGCCGCGGUAAUACGUAGGGGGCAAGCGUUGUCCGGAAUAAUUGGGCGUAAAGGGCGCGUAGGCGGCUCGGUAAGUCUGGAGUGAAAGUCCUGCUUUUAAGGUGGGAAUUGCUUUGGAUACUGUCGGGCUUGAGUGCAGGAGAGGUUAGUGGAAUUCCCAGUGUAGCGGUGAAAUGCGUAGAGAUUGGGAGGAACACCCAGUGGCGAAGGCGACUAACUGGACUGUAACUGACGCUGAGGCGCGAAAGUGUGGGGAGCAAACAGGAUUAGAUACCCUGGUAGUCCACACUGUAAACGAUGAAUGCUAGGUGUAGGGGGUAUCGACCCCUUCUGUGCCGCAGUCAACACAAUAAGCAUUCCGCCUGGGGAGUACGGCCGCAAGGUUGAAACUCAAAGGAAUUGACGGGGGCCCGCACAAGCAGCGGAGCAUGUGGUUUAAUUCGACGCAACGCGAAGAACCUUACCAGGUCUUGACAUCCACUUAAACUUACAGAGAUGUAAGGUGUGCUUGCACAAAGUGAGACAGGUGGUGCAUGGUUGUCGUCAGCUCGUGUCGUGAGAUGUUGGGUUAAGUCCCGCAACGAGCGCAACCCUUAUCUUCAGUUACUAACGCGUGAGGGUGAGGACUCUGAAGAGACUGCCGGGGACAACUCGGAGGAAGGUGGGGACGACGUCAAAUCAUCAUGCCCCUUAUGACCUGGGCUACACACGUGCUACAAUGGCCACGACAGAGAGAAGCGAAAUCGUAAGGUAGAGCGAAACUCAAAAAAGUGGUCCCAGUUCGGAUUGUGGGCUGCAACCCGCCCACAUGAAGUCGGAGUUGCUAGUAAUCGCGGAUCAGCAUGCCGCGGUGAAUACGUUCCC